GGCGAACGGGUGAGUAACACGUGGGUGACCUACCUUCGAGUGGGGGAUAACGUCCCGAAAGGGACGCUAAUACCGCAUAACAUCCUGCCUUUGAACAGGCGGAGAUCAAAGCCGGGGAUCGCAAGACCUGGCGCUUGAUGAGGGGCUCGCGUCCGAUUAGCUAGUUGGUGAGGUAAUGGCUCACCAAGGCAACGAUCGGUAGCCGGCCUGAGAGGGCGGACGGCCACACUGGGACUGAGACACGGCCCAGACUCCUACGGGAGGCAGCAGUGGGGAAUUGUUCGCAAUGGGCGCAAGCCUGACGACGCAACGCCGCGUGGAGGAUGAAGGUCUUCGGAUUGUAAACUCCUGUUGCCCGGGACGAAUGGCUCCAACCUAAUACGUUGGAGUGUGACGGUACCGGGUGAGGAAGCCCCGGCUAACUCUGUGCCAGCAGCCGCGGUAAUACAGAGGGGGCAAGCGUUGUUCGGAAUUACUGGGCGUAAAGGGCGCGUAGGCGGCCUGUUAAGUCGAACGUGAAAUCCCCGGGCUCAACCCGGGAACUGCGUCCGAUACUGGCAGGCUUGAAUCCGGGAGAGGGAUGCGGAAUUCCAGGUGUAGCGGUGAAAUGCGUAGAUAUCUGGAGGAACACCGGUGGCGAAGGCGGCAUCCUGGACCGGCAUUGACGCUGAGGCGCGAAAGCCAGGGGAGCAAACGGGAUUAGAUACCCCGGUAGUCC
rnacentral:rRNA from 1 species